GACGUACUGCGCGAACGUUAUUCGGAAUCACUGGGCUUAAAGGGCGCGUAGGCGGCAAAUCAAGUCCGGGGUGAAAGCCCUCAGCUCAACUGGGGAAGUGCCUCGGAUACUGGCUUGCUGGAGGGAGGUAGGGGUCGAGGGAACUUCUGGUGGAGCGGUGAAAUGCGUUGAUAUCAGAAGGAACGCCGGUGGCGAAAGCGCUCGACUGGACCUUUUCUGACGCUGAGGCGCGAAAGCUAGGGGAGCAAACGGG
rnacentral:rRNA from 1 species